UACGUAGGGUGCAAGCGUUUGUCCGGAAUUAUUGGGCGUAAAGAGCUUGUAGGCGGUUUGUCGCGUCUGCUGUGAAAACCUAAGGCUCAACCUUGGGCUUGCAGUGGGUACGGGCAGACUAGAGUGCGGUAGGGGUGACUGGAAUUCCUGGUGUAGCGGUGGAAUGCGCAGAUAUCAGGAGGAACACCGAUGGCGAAGGCAGGUCAC
rnacentral:rRNA from 1 species